rnacentral:rRNA from 1 species
AUUGUUUGCAGUUCCUCCAACCCAAUGUGAACGUUACCAAACUGUUGCCUCGGCGGGGUCACGCCCCGGGUGCGUCGCAGCCCCGGAACCAGGCGCCCGCCGGAGGAACCAACCAAACUCUUUCUGUAGUCCCCUCGCGGACGUAUUUCUUUACAGCUCUGAGCAAAAAUUCAAAAUGAAUCAAAACUUUCAACAACGGAUCUCUUGGUUCUGGCAUCGAUGAAGAACGCAGCGAAAUGCGAUAAGUAAUGUGAAUUGCAGAAUUCAGUGAAUCAUCGAAUCUUUGAACGCACAUUGCGCCCGCCAGUAUUCUGGCGGGCAUGCCUGUCCGAGCGUCAUUUCAACCCUCGAACCCCUCCGGGGGAUCGGCGUUGGGGAUCGGGACCCCUCACACGGGUGCCGGCCCCUAAAUACAGUGGCGGUCUCGCCGCAGCCUCUCCUGCGCAGUAGUUUGCACAACUCGCACCGGGAGCGCGGCGCGUCCACGUCCGUAAAACACCCAACUUUCUGAAAUGUUGACCUCGGAUCAGGUAGGAAUACCCGCUGAACUUAAGCAUAUCAAUAAGCGGAGGAA